UCCAGGGUGGGAGGAUCCACUUCCAAAACGUCUCACUCACAUGACUAUUGGCAGAAAGCCUCAGUUCCUUGAAAAUGUGGACUUCUCUGCAGGCCUUCUGGAGUGUCCUCCUGACAGCAACUGGCCUUUCCCAGAGAGAGUGAUCCAACAGAGAGAGCAAGUAGGAUAUAGCUGCGCCUUUCAUGACAGCCUCAGAAGCCACAAAUCACCGUGUCUGCUAUGUUUUAUUCAUCAGAAGUGAGUCGCUGAGUCCAACCAUAUUCACAGGGAGGCAAAGUAAGCUCUACCUCUUAAAGGAAAGGAGUAUCCAAGAAUUUGUGGAUAUAUUUUAAAACGGCCACAGACCUCAGAUGGACAGAAUUCAACUCAUCACAUUUCUUGGUUCUUGACACGCUCUCCUCGUUAGUCCAUCACAUAUUGCACGGAUUCAUUCAUAUCGCUGCAUGUAGGCUGCUUUGACCUGCUGUAGAAUAUCUCAUUGUGUGGAUGCACAUGUGGAUCACUGAGUAUGUCAGAGCUGGCAAGAUACGUCAGAAGAGAAAGGAGAAACUCUUAACUAAAUAGAGUUGGAAAUAAAAUAAUUGUCUGUAUGGAAUAAGAUCAAAGGUCCCACAUGUUAAAGUCAACCCCAGAUGAAUUAAAGUCUUACAUGUCAAAAAAAAUUGAAACUUUUAGAAGAAAAUUAAGGUGGAUAUAUUUUAGACCUUAAGGUAGAGAAAGAUUUCUUAAAGAAGACACUUACAGGAUUGAUUACAAACAAAAAGACUGGUACAUUUGAAUGUAUUAUGUUAAGAACUUUUCCACCAAAAGAAAGCCUCGAUUUCCUCAUUUUUAAGAUGAGGAUAAUAAUCCCUACCUUAUAGAAUUCUAAUAAGAUGAAAUGAAGCAACAUAUACAAAAUACUUAGCACAGAUCCUAACACCUACAAAAUAAUAAAUGGUAACGAUUAUUAUUCUUCUCAAACAACAAUCCUAUUAUUUAUCAAAUAAUACUGAGUAAUAUGACAAGACAUAUUUAAACCACACAAGCCAUAUGCAGACAAGUGUUUAAUAUCAUAGUGAUAGUUUCAAGAGAGAGAUAAUAAUUUAUUCUACAUUUAUCAGAGGUCUAUAGCCCAGUAGUCAAUAAAUACUUAUCUAUAGUCAAUAAGUACUAUCAAGCAUCCAUGCCAGGAACCAUGCUAGGGGCUGAUUAAUUUACAUCAAUCACCAUGACUUUUUUCCCACAAACUAACACACACACAAUCUUCAUAGAUUUUUCUGUGAUCACAGCAAGGAAAAGACCUACGCAUGUUUGGAUCAUCUGUGUACAGUCCUACAGAAGAACUUUGACACUAUCAGAGACAGAAAUCUCAGAAUAGUCCAACUCUCACUUAUUUGUGCUAAUGAAAGAGUAAAGUAAAAGAGACAAUUAAAAUGGGAAAUGUGUUUUGUUUUGUUUUGGUGUUUUGUUUUACAAGUAUGCAAAAACCUCAAAUCAACCUGACCCAACAAUAAGGAAGCAAGUCAGAAAAAGGCAGUCUUCCAGAGCUGUUUGUUCAGCAGCUCAGUAAUGCCAUGAAGGUUUGCUUCCUUUCUCUGCUUUGUGUUUCUGGAGAGAGUCCGCAUACAUUUCAAUAUGGCUGACAGCAGUUCUGGAAUGUAUAAAGCCUUGCAUAAAGAAAAUGACAGUUCACUAUGAAAAUCUGAUUCGGAUGAUGUUGAAAAUAGAUUUAGUGUCUGCUCUGCCUCUCUGUUUUCUAGGACUUCACCACCUCACAGACUUUGUACACUCAUGGUUCACAACUUCCUCACUGUGUUUUCUUUAACGAGUAGAAGAUAAAUAAGCUUUAAGAAAUAGUAAAUUAUAUCAAAAUAGACUUUAUCAUAUAAUUUGCCUAAUUAUGUACCUUCAGUAAGUGUUUAUUGAACUCUGGGGUGUCAACAAUUUUUUAUUCAGCUCUCAUAAGUAAUAUUUGCUUAGAAAUCUACCCAUAAAUAGGAUAACAACUUUCAUAAAACAAGAAUUUAUACCUAGCUAACAUGAAAAAGCUAAACAUCCCUUGAAGUACAAUUCUCCUGAAAAUCAUCCCAAUAUGGUUUAUUGAGGCUGAUGGAUUUGGACACCAGCUCUUAAGAAAAAAGAUAAAGAGGAAAGCUACUGCCUGCCACAACAUAUUCUUUUUCCCAAGAGCUGGUAAGUUUCUUCCAUAUGUGGAAUCCAAUAACGUUCGGAACAUUCUUUUCUCUUUCUGGUAAUGUGAUAUACCCAACGUGGGCCUAUGAUACAAGGAAGGAGAGUAGAUCAGGAGUCAAAAACCACAGGUCCUAGUUCUGGUUCUAUCAUUUCUUUGCUGUGAAAGUCUGGACCAGUGACUUCAUAGCUCUGAGUUUCUGUUGUGUCAUUCUUCAAGUCAGGUCAUCAUUUGCCUUCCCUACUUCACAGGUAGUAUACAGUAAUCUUUUCAAAAGCCCUUUAGAGGACAUAACACAACCUUAUGUUUAUUUUCUGCUAGAGCAUGACUCCCUUGAGGGCUUGGAGCAUGUCUUAAUCAAAUUUGUAUAUUCCACCAUUCCUACCCCAGACCUAUUAUUAGGUGCUCAAUAAAUGUUGAUUUUAAAUGACAGCUGUCAUGAAAUAAAUGAAAACAGAAGCCAACAGUGACGGUUUGAGCUGCCUGCUGGCUGGCAUGUGACACUUAACAUCUAAAGAGUGAUAGUGGCAGCUAAAGUGCGGAAGGAAUCCACUUUAUGAAACUAUCUGAGCAGUGAAGCACUGGAAAUCACAGAGUCUCCUUUUGGCUAUUUUACAUUUAGAUAUGAAAGCUUGUCAGGCUGGGCUGAGAAUAGACAAUGAGAAACUAACACAUUUCAACAGGUUUUGAAUAGUUUCCCAGUGAAGAAUUUUCCUGGCCUCUCUCCACCCUGGUUUUUAUCCCUCUUCUUGGGAGUUAUUUUUCGCAAAUGUACCCCAUGAUUGGCAAAUUUCAGAAGAAUAACUGGGGUUGGCUCAGUUCAGCUCCUCCCCGUCCUUCUCCUGAGUCUGCUUCCAAAGGCAAUCUGCAAGGGAGGAAUAAAGCAACUCAGGGAAGGGAAAAAGAGAUGUGAAGAAGGAAAGAAAUUGGAAGACCCAAAACAACAUGAUGGUUAGUAGAGCUAAUGAAAAUGAGGAAGCUCCAAUAAUAUCUGGUUUUUUUUCUCUGACUUUGUGAAAACCAUUUGUUAUUAUGAUACGACAAUGUAAUCAAUGGUACUCAGUAAAGUCAGUACCCCAAAAUUCGG
rnacentral:lncRNA from 1 species